CGGUCCUGCGUAGCCAUCCGGUGCCGACCGUCCGAGGGCGCUCCGCGGGCAGAGGCCGUCUCGUCCCGUCCGUUCUGCGCCGACCCGCUGUCGGUAGCUCUGCUUAGUUACCCCAGUUUUAAGCGACGCGGUUGAGACAGCCUGGAAACCACGCACUGUGAUACGUAACGCGCUAUCGGUAACUGUGUGAUUUCUAAAAGCGCGCGGGCGACGCAGCGGAACACAGGCGAACCAGCGACUGGCGGCCCGUCUCAAGCUGAGCCCGUGGUCCGGACAUCCGAUCGAGAAGACUGUAAAAGUGACGUCACUGAGUACUUCGAACACUUCGUGAAAUAUAGCAGUACGAAAAUGUAGACAAAGGAGGUGGUGGGGGGCAGGCGAUGCAGCGGCAGACAGAGAGUAGAGUGUUCAAAAUGCUGUAGAGGAUGAUGAGUGUAACAGCUGCGAAAGGAUGAAAAGAUGGACGAUUGCAGGAAACCAGUAGAAAUAAUGAAGAAUAAAAAAAAAAAAAAAGAAACAGAUGAGUUAUGUUCUCAACAUAUUUUGUUC